GGAUAAGAAGUGACCACAACUCGGAUAACAGCAUUGAAAUCCUUAAAUUUUGGAUUACCUCAAUCGAAGAUCAAUAUCAUGCGGUGUUUACUGAAUUUAAAGAGAGCGAAAGGAAAUAUCCAGAAGAGGAUGGAGUUGCUCAUUGGACAGACCAAAGAUUCAAUCAUCUGAUGAACAUGAGGGAAAAUUCUUUAAACUUUGCCAGGAACAUAUGGGCAGACUACUAUUUUUCAAUUGAUUCAGAUGUGAUUUUGACCAACCCAAAUGUAUUGAACUACUUAAUAAGCAAAAAUGUACUUGUAGCAGCCCCUCUACUAAAUUCCGCAGGUCUUUAUUCAAACUUCUGGUCAGGAAUGACAGAGGAUUUUUAGUAUAAAAGAAAUGAAGCUUAUAAACCAAUAUUAAACAGAGAAAAUGUUAGCUGCUAUUCAGUUUCGAUGGUUCAUAGUUGUGUAUUGGUCGACUUGAGGAUGCAAGAUAGUGAUUUCUUGACUUAUUUACCCUCAAAUAUUCCUAAUUACAUUGGACCUAAUGAUGAC